UGGAAAUGCAGUUCUUUAAAUGCAUUGUUAAAUUGAACACAUCAGGUGGCAUUGCACAGCAAUCAACGCAACUGGGAGACACAGCUGGGCGGCGGACAGAGUUUCCCCUAGUCAUAGUGGCAGGACAUUCCCAGAUUUGCUACAACGCUU